rnacentral:tRNA from 1 species
GCGGAGGUAGCUCAGCCUGGUGGAGCGAUCGGCUCAUAACCGAUGCGCGUAAUGCGCGCGGGAAAAGCCCCGGGUUCAAAUCCCGGCCUCCGCA